rnacentral:rRNA from 1 species
CGUGUAGGCGGUCAGGUAAGUGGAAUGUGAAAUGCCCCGGGCUCACCCGGGGACCGGCAUCCCAAACUGCCUGGCUUGAGUAUGGGAGAGGAUGGAGGAAUUCCUGGUGUAGCGGUGAAAUGCGUAGAUAUCAGGAGGAACACCGGUGGCGAAGGCGUCCAUCUGGCCCGAAUACUGACGCUGAGGCGCGAAAGCUAGGGGAGCAAACG